rnacentral:rRNA from 1 species
AUUGAACGCUGGCGGCAUGCUUUACACAUGCAAGUCGAACGGUAACAGGCCUUCGGGUGCUGACGAGUGGCGAACGGGUGAGUAAUGCAUCGGAACGUACCCAGAGGUGGGGGAUAACGCAGCGAAAGCUGUGCUAAUACCGCAUGUGAUCUGAGGAUGAAAGCGGGGGACCGAGCAGCAAUGUUUGGCCUCGCGCCUUUGGAGCGGCCGAUGUCGGAUUAGCUAGUUGGUGGGGUAAAGGCCUACCAAGGCGACGAUCCGUAGCUGGUCUGAGAGGACGACCAGCCACACUGGGACUGAGACACGGCCCAGACUCCUACGGGAGGCAGCAGUGGGGAAUUUUGGACAAAGGGCGCAGGCCUGAUCCAGCAAUGCCGCGUGCGGGAAGAAGGCCUUCGGGUUGUAAACCGCUUUUGGCAGGAACGAAACGGUGUCCGCUAAUACCGGGCGCUAAUGACGGUACCUGCAGAAUAAGCACCGGCUAACUACGUG